CGGAUGGCGGCGGAGCUGGGCGCGGGGCUGCGCAUCUUCCGCGAUAUACUGAGAAGAGCAGACAAGAAUGAUGAUGGAAAACUGUCCUUUGAUGAAUUCAAAGCUUACUUUGCUGAUGGAGUUCUGAGUGGAGAAGAACUGCAUGAACUUUUUCAUACGAUCGAUACACACAA